CCAUAUAUUUUUAGUUGUCAUGUUUAAAUAACUUCAAGAGUUUAAACAUCACAGCAAGAAUGUAGUACUUACAAACCUAUGAAAUCAUAAAGAAUAGGAAAUUUUGAUUUAGGUAUUACAGACCAAUAUUUUAUUCCCUAGUAAAGAGGGAAAGAUUUUUCAAAGAGUUUGGAAUCAAACUGAGAAAAAGAAAUGACCUGAGUUUACUUUUCUAGAACAGUAACUGACUUUGGGGAGUUAAUGCAUAAAGAACAGGAUCAAAGCCCACCACCCCCAGCACAGUACAAUUUGGCCCGUCAAGAGCGUUUCUGGUGUUACAGGAGACCACAGAAGACCACAUGGCUCUCUUUUCUGGAGUGUAUAGAUGCUGUAGAGUGUUGGCCAGUUACUCCUUUUUUUGGUGAGCCCCUCAUUGAUCUGGCUUCCAGAAAGUUUGGCUACCAAAGUCCGAGUUCUCUGAAAAUUGCUGGGUCAGAAGUGAGCUACCUUGUCCAAUGUCAUGUUCCUUCCUCUGGAAGACAGAGUAGGAGCCUGAAUCUUGCUACCAGUCUGGAACUGGCCAGACCUCCUCCUUGCUUUCUGUUGAGACUACUCCAAGAACUAUGCUAGCAUUGGAGAUUCUGAAGGAGCAUGCCAUUUACUGUGGUGCUUCUCACAUCUUGUUGCUGUGCAGCGUUUCCUGAGAACAUUCUCCAUCAGGUAAUCCCAUAACUUUCUAUGAAUGACUCCAGUGAUUGACACAGCGAAGCAUACAUGAUUUCAACCUUUCUGUACUAUUGACUCUUCCUUUUCCCUUUAGGCUUGUGUUUCCAGAUAUCUACCACUCAACUUCUUUGGAGACAGAAGAGAAGUUCCAAAGUACAGUCUAUAAACUGCCAAGUCCCUAAAAUUUAACUGCUUUCUGUAUUAUCAGUUUCCUUGAUUUUAUUUUUUGGCUUUUUGAGAUGGGGUUUCUCUCUCUGUGUAUUACUGGCUGUCCUGGAACUCCCUCUGCAGAUGAUGCUGGCCUUGAACUCAGAGACCCACCUACAUGUGCCUCCCAAGUGCUAGGAUUAAUAGGAUUCAUGACUACCACCACCUGCAUAUUUUAAUGCCAUAAUUACACAUUCCUUUUUUUUAAAGCCAAAUACACAGUGUAUCUAUUCCUCCCUAGCAAAAAAGUAACAAAAAUGUUUAGUCACCCUGGCACCUUUUUGUGUUUCUUUAUUUGGAAUAGUCUUUGGCAACAUGUAGUUUUGGUUUAUGAGGCUCAAACCAUGUGUCAUUACAGAGGACAGUCCUUUGUAAUAGAAGAAGACAGAGAGGUUCAUGGUGGACACUGUGUCACAUCAGAAUUAGGGUGUGGAGAUACUACUGAAAGUGGAGAUUGCCAUCACCCACCAUCUGGAUUAGAAGCAGCAGAGUGGGUGGGGUCUUUCCCUAGUGCUUUUAGAUGGAUGGUAGCUCUGACAGCAUCUUGAAUCCAGAUCUCUGGAGUCAAGAACUAUCAAAGAAUGUGAUCUGAGUCACUGAGUUUGUUUCUGAAACUCUAGAAUAUCAGUACACCAUUAAAACAGUACACAAGCUCACACAUCUUCAUCCAGAGCUCUUUAUAUUUGAACUUGCUGGUUAAAUCAUACAGUAGGGCU